AAACUAUUCUCUUUCCUUACCAUUUUCACUUACACUGUAGUUCUCUUCUGACCUCUCUCUACAAUCUCUCAUCAAUCCGAAUGUAUAACAGACCAAGCUAGCAAUCAUCACCAAUUAAGCUAAGAAUCACCAAAAAUCAUGCUACCACUCACCAUCAACCUAUUCUGCCUUUUUCAUAGUCUAUUGUUCUCUUCUCAGUUCUCCUUCACUCUUCCAAAUCUCUCAUUGGUCACUUUCAUUGCCAUCAAUCAUCAAUCAAGCCGUGAUUUUUUUUUUUUUGGUUCAAUCUUUUUGAAUAAGAUAAAUUUUGUUUAUUUUUUAUUUCCUAUGAUUCUGGUACAAGAAAUUACAUAUUUGGAUGUAAACUAGUGUUUUGAUUUCAAUUUCUGAAUAGUUCAUUGAAAAUUCGAAUAAAUUUGAUUGGGGCUUGUUGAUUAAGUUUGGGGAUGUGGGUAGAUGAUUUAGGUUUACUUUUAAAUGCAGACAAAUUCUUUAUUCAAAAUUUCUAGGUUUUAUUUUGAUUGUGUUUUACAACUUACAGUUUUAUGAAUUACUACUCUUACCAU
rnacentral:misc_RNA from 1 species